rnacentral:ncRNA from 1 species
ACAAAGGCAGUGAAAAGGAAUAGUAGGUAUUUACACACAUCCAGAGAGGAGGCCGUUUGGUGAGAGGUUUCCGUGUCCCUGAAUACUGAACCGGCCUUGGAGCCCCGCAUGAGGAAUGCGGCGUAUCCCGGCGUUAACGGAUCAUGAGGUGAGCGGGCAGAAGGAACCGGGAAAAUUCCCGAAGGAGCCGGACGCGCCGCUAAAUUGGGUGGUACCGCCGAGCGUUUCGGUCCCUUUU